rnacentral:rRNA from 1 species
GACGAACGCUGGCGGCGUGCUUAACACAUGCAAGUCGAACGGAAAGGCCCUGCUUUUGUGGGGUGCUCGAGUGGCGAACGGGUGAGUAACAGGUUAGUAACCUGCUCUUGACUUUGGUAUAACUUCACGAAACUGGGGCUACUACCGGAUAGCAGCUCCUGCUGCAUGGUGGGGGUUGGAUAUUUUCGGCGGUUGGGGAUGGACUCGCGGCUUAUCUGCUUGUUGGUGGGGUAGUGGCUUACCAAGGCUUUGACGGGUAGCCGGCCUGAGAGGGGGACCGGCCACAUGGGGACUGAGAGAGGGCCCAGAGUCGUACGGGAGGCAGCGGGGGGGAAAAUGGAACAAUGGGCGGAAGCCGGAGGCAGAAACGCCGGGGGCGGAAUGACGGCCUUCGGGUUGUAAACCGCUUCCGCCUGUGACGAAGCGUGAGUGACGGUAAUGGGUAAAGAAGCACCGGCUAACUACGUG